rnacentral:sRNA from 1 species
UUCCAUAUUAACUAUGAUAACAUGAAAGUGUAAGUUUUUGUUUUACGAUUAGUUCUGUGCUUUUGGGUUCAUUCCUAUUCAAGAAAUUAGAUUUACAAAUUUAUAAAUAAGGAAGUACCAAAAAUGGCACAAGGAACUGUUAAAUGGUUUAACGCAACUAAAGGCUUCGGCUUUAUCACUACUGAAGAAGGAAACGACGUUUUCGCUCACUUCUCAGCUAUCCAAACUGAUGGAUUCAAAACACUUGACGAAGGUCAAAAAGUUACUUUUGACGUUGAAGAUGGCCCUCGUGGACCUCAAGCUGUUAACAUCCAAAAAUAAUUACAGCUUUAAAUAAAAAUCACUGACAGUUUUGUCAGUGAUUUUUU